CAGAGAGCCUGUGUGUGCGGAAACCCUGCACGCCCCCCUGCACACACCUCUUCUGAUGAAAGAUGACGUCAGCUCCGUAGACGGCUCCAGAUCAAGCAUUCUGGCAAGAGAAACCUGAAAUGUACAAUCAAAUGAAUUAUUCCAGUCCAUGUGGAGCAGAGAGCAAGGCAGGAUGGGAAACUGUUUGCUGACCCCUGACGUAGACACUCUUGACUUCGUAUGUGUUGGAAGACAGUCAGAGGUCCUCAAAUGAAGAAGGCCCAGGCACAGAGCCAAUAAUCUACAAAGAUCUGGGUACAUUAUAAAUGAAACAAAGAAAGCAUUUAGGGGUUGGUCAGCUACCAUGUCAGACUAUCUCCCAGUAAAACCUGGCACAUGAACAAAAUAAGGUACCUCUUUUUCAACACAUCUGUAUUAGUUCCUUAGAGCUGCUAUAACAAAAUACCACAACUGGAGGCUUAAAACUACAGAAACUUUUACUCCCCUGGUAGUGGAGACCAAAAGUCUGAAAUCAAGCCAUCCCAUUUUGGCUCUUUCUAGCUUCUGGUGGUUGCCAGUAAUCCUCAGCAUUUUUUGGUGUGUAGCUUCAUCACUCCUGUUUCUAUGUCUGUUGUGACAUAGAAUCUUCCCUGUGCUUCAGUAUCCCCAUCUUCUCUUUUUAUAAGGAUAUCAGUCAUGUAGGAUUUAGGGUGCACUCCAAUCCAGUAUGGUUUCAUCUUGUCUUAACUGAUUACAUCUGCCAAGACCCUAUUUUCAGAAGAGGUCACAUUCUGAGGUUUAAGUGGACAUAAAUUUGGCAGGGGUGGGGGGUACAUUUCAAUUCAGUUUGCUUUAGCAGUAAAAGGAGGAAGUGAUCAGAGUGGUUCUUGGCUAGAAAUCUUCAGGAUAUGAAGAAUAAUACUCCUUCUCCCUAAGGCAUUCACAUUCUAAUCUCUGCAAUAUGUGAAUAUAUUGCUUUAUAUGUCAAAAAGGACUUUGCUGAUGUAAUUAAGCUGAGAAUUUUAAGAUGUGGAUAUUAUGCUUGAUGAUCGAGAAUGCACAGUGUGGUCACAAGGGGCUCUAUAAGAGGGAGACAGGAGAGUCAACGGCAGAAGGAGAUGGAAUGACAG